GCGGGCGCGCGGGGCGGCGGCCGGAGCCGCGCGCGCUGUACCGUGAGGGUAGUGGAGGGAACCUGAGGGGGAGCGACCGGGAGGUGACCUCAGGGAUGUCCCCAGGGGUGUCCCCGCGGGCCCUCCGCCGUCACGGCUCUGUGGAGCAGCCCCGACACCUCCUCUGUGUUUCGCCGGAAAAUAAGACUGCGGUGAGGCAGCGAGAGCACAGAGCUCCUGCAGGUUCGGCACAGGGGGAAGGGGCCUCCAUCCCGAGUGCGGAGCUGCGCUGUGGAGCCGGGUGCCUCUGGAAAGGCCGUGGGAGCAGGAGCAGCGGCAGAGGCCUCAUUUGAGCACCAGGAAGUAGGUGGUCCAGCCGGCCAGCAGCAGCGCCCCGAGCAGCACCGUGUAGCUGAACAGCACAAAGGCCAGCAGCUCCCGCAGCACCUUGAGGAAGUGGAUGGCGAAGGAGUCCGGCAUGGCUCUCCCGGCUCCCUGCAGCUGGCUGCUCCCUGCUCCUGCCAGGCCUGGAAGCAGAGGAACAAGGUGAGUCUUCACAGCAGGGACACCACCCUGCCAUGGGGAAAAGUCCUGUGACCACCUGGAAGGUUGUUAGUGACUGGUGUGGGCCUGUUCAGAGCCCGGCCGAAGUGUCGAAAGAGAAUUUGGGAUCUGAUCAAAGUCUCCAGAUCAGGACUGGUAAGGAAGCAGAUGGAAAUAAAGACCCAGGCAGGGGGCACGGCCAUGGGGGUGAGGCUGGGGGUGUUGCAGAGUCCAGCUGGCUUCGGGAAUCUCUCCCCUGGGGCUGUGCGUCCAGGAAGCGCCAGGAUCAGAGCGGCCGCUGAUGGUGCAUUACCAACAGCGUGUUCUGAUCAAAGUGGUCAAUUCCUCCAAGGAAGCCACCAUUAAUAUUUAAUUCUAUAAUUGCAUCUAAUGGAGGUACUGGCACAAACUGAGCCUUUUGUUUAAGAAUGACGAAAACUGAGGCUUAAAUACAAGUUUGCACAGGCAAAUAUUUAUAUCUUGCGUUAAAAAUAUCCGUUAAUGGGAGAUGUGGGAUAAGAUGCCUUAGAAUUCAUCUUCUAGCAGUAUUGUAUAGUCAUAUGUACGCAUUGCUUUGGAAGUGAUUGCUCCUUUGUUAGUUUAAAAUAAAUCUGAACUUUUCUUCUAAAGUCACUGGCUUCUUAGAUUUGAAGCUGUAAAAACCCACCUAAAAAUUUCUAUUAUCUCUUCAAUUUACUUGUUCUUUUAAAUUUUGAUCACAACUGUGCCUGAUCAACAGUAUUGACGCUCUUGGUCAAGCACGAAAAGGGAGUUUAAAAUCAGACUUAGGAUAGAAACUAACCCAGAAGGAUUAUUUCUCUUCUGAACAGCCUAAAGCCAGCCAAACUAAACUGAAUUCAUGUCCUGCUACCUGGAAUGUUUUUUUAAAGAGCUCUUGUGAUAAGGAAUUCACUUUUUGGUGUUGUUUAACGAGUUCAGCCAUUCCAUUCCAAGCUCAGGCACAUGUAUACAGUACAGGAGUUACAGCAUUUUAAAACCAGCUGUGAUUUCUCUGUUCAGAGCAUUACAGAUUUCUGUCCAUAGGCUGUGCGAGAUUUCUGGUUAUCUAGAAAGAUGCUGAUAAAGAAAUAAACUGCUUACCCAGGCAGAUGAUGGGCUCUGCUUCGGCAAGUUCGUGUUCCUCCCUAGUUUUGUUCUGCAGCUGUCCCUUUUGCAGGGGUUUGUGCCGUAGGCUGAUCCCGCUGUGAUCCAGGAGCAGAGUGUGUGUCUGUGUGUGCAGCCCACACCAGGACUGAGCUCUAGGUGUGGUCAGCACCGGUUAUGAUCCGACAGCGCCGUGGUGCUCGUGGUGCUUGGAGCAGCCAAACACUCCCCUUCCCCUGGGGGCUUUGGCAACAGCAUUUCCAGAGUUCCAGUGCCAGGGCUUGGAGUUACCAGACCAAAACCUGCAUUUGUUGAGAUUGUGGGGGUUUGCCUCUAACAAAACCUUGUGUCAUCUUACACGUUUUAUUCCGUUAUCUCGAAGGCUGCAGUGCUUCUUGCUCUGUUCCCUGAGCACCCUGUGCUCUGUGAGCCACUCGGGGAGGAAGAUGCUCACACACAGCUGGAGCUCAUCCCCAGGGUGGGACUGUGCAGGCUGAGCCAGGAUUUUUUACCAAAAGUCAGUGAGGACUGAAAGCAGCCUAAUCCCUGCACGGUCCCCUGCAGGGUCAUUGCUGUAGUGUCACCCUUACCCUCCCUCCCAAGGAGUCAUCCCAACCUUUUAGAGCUCAAAUGAUGCAGCUCCUUUGCAGUGAGGGGAGGAGAGAGCCAGGCUCUAUGUUUAUUCUUAGCAAAACUGCUUCUGAUAAUGUUGUAUGAAAAGUGAAAGUCUUUUGGGGUAGAGGUUGGGUAAUAUUUUCUUUUUUUAUUUUUUGUAGUAAUGUAGACAGCAGAGAAAGAAGAUUAUGUACUGCAAAUCAAAUCUCUUACCUACAAAGAUAUUAUGAUGUAGAAAAUGGUUGCUUAAUUUAAUUAGGUUCUCUUGUUAUCAAAUUAUUACCCACAUGGUCAGCAGGGCCUUGGACAGAAGCAGAACAUCAUCAGCUGCUCAGGAAGCCUGUUAAAUAGUAAUUGCUCCUCCAGGGAAUUGAUCAGCGUCAGGAUGACUUUUAUUUUGUUGUUGAAUAGUUCCAGGAAGAGGCUUUGUCUAGGUGGAGGGGUUACAUGGUGCUAGUGUAGGCUGCAAAAAACCAGGCUGCAAUGUUGGUGAUGAAUUCAGAGUUUACCAAGUGUCUGGAGUGAACUCUUAACCAAAAAAAGUUUUGCCUGUAGUGUUACUGAUUGCUGGUCAGGGGAAAGGUGAGCCACUCUGUGUUUUCCUUUAUUCACCUGUGGUGUAGCUCAGAAACCAGCCUGGCCAGUAUUUCCUUGGGAUUAGUUCAACUGUUAAAAUUGAAAAAAAAAAUCUGGAAAUUGUGAUACUACAGAGAUCGUUCAAGGCCAACCCAAGGACAUUCUUGCUCUGAGUCAAUUUCUUGUUUUUCUCUGCAUAGUAACAUCUAAUUUUUGAUCCAAGCCUAAUUCAGUUUUCCUUUUAAACACUCUGAAAUUAGCUACUUUAAAUGGAUCUUGCAGAACAAACAGUCCAUGUUUGCUCUUCUUGCAUCACUGAAGUUGUAGCAUGUUUUUGGUUAAGUCUGUCUACAGGUUGCCUUCCCACCUAAAAUAGAAAGUCUCCAGUGAAUGAAACUGUAUUUUUCUUCAAAAGUUCAGAAAUUCCACUUCUAAUGUAGUAUUACAGGUGGCAGAACAGAAUGAAAUUUUGCAUAAGCCUUAAUUAAAAACCACCUGGGUGUUAGAAAAAUAGUUUCAACUUAAGUAAUUCAGUUAUCCAUUUAUCCUGAGACAAGGAGAGGAUACACCUACCACAGUGCAAGGUUUUAUUUUAUCUUUGUUUUCUAGAGAGAGAGAAAGAGUGCUAACACUUCCAAAAAAAAAGAUUAAAUACAUCUUUAUUUUAUUUUAUUUAAUAAGUCAGCUAGAGUUAAACAGAGGAGCUCCAUGGAGGGUCUGACUUGGCAGACUUCAGUCUUAGAAAAUAAAACAGACCAAAACCUGGAGUCACAACUGUGACAACUUGGAAAAAUUGAGGGAUUUAUUGGGACAUGGUAACUAAGGCAGAAAUGUUUGCUAAGAGAGUGAUUUAAGGUGGGGAGUGGGCUUUUUUUUAGUUGUGUUUAAGAGUGAACUACAGUGGGGAAGAGUCCCCAGUGGCUGUGAGGACACAGACAGUGCCCAAC